AAAUUGAAGAGUUUGAUCAUGGCUCAGAUUGAACGCUGGUGGCAGGCCUAACACAUGCAAGUCGAACGGUAACAGGAAGCAGCUUGCUGCUUUGCUGACGAGUGGCGGACGGGUGAGUAAUGUCUGGGAAACUGCCUGAUGGAGGGGGAUAACUACUGGAAACGGUGGCUAAUACCGCAUAACGUCGCAAGACCAAAGAGGGGGACCUUC
rnacentral:rRNA from 1 species